GUAGGGAAUAUUGGGCAAUGGAAGGAAUUCUGACCCAGCCAUGCCGCGUGCAGGAAUACAGUCCUAUGGACUUUAAACUGCUUUUAUUAUAGAGUAACCUGGGGGACGUGUCCCCCACUGCAAGUAUAUAAUGAAUAAGCAUCGGCUAACUCCGUGCCAGCAGCCGCGGUAAUACGGGGGAUGCAAGCGUUAUCCGGAAUUAUUGGGUUUCAAGGGUGCGCAGGCUGAUCGGUAAGUCAUGGGUGAAAAGUCACUGCUUAACAGUGAUCGUGCCUAUGAUACUGCCGGACUAGAGUUUAAGAGGUGUAACUGGAAUGUGAUGUGUAGCGGUGAAAUGCUUAGAUAUGUCACAGAACGCCAAUCGUGAAGACAGGUUACAAACUUAAUACUGACGCUCAUGCACGAAAGCGUGGGGAUCAAACAGGAUUAGAAACCCCUGUAGUCC
rnacentral:rRNA from 1 species